rnacentral:rRNA from 1 species
GACGAACGCUGGCGGCGUGCCUAAUACAUGCAAGUCGAGCGGAAGUUGGAGAGCUUGCUCUUCAACUUUAGCGGCGGACGGGUGAGUAACACGUGGGCAACCUGCCCUGCAGAUCGGGAUAACACCGGGAAACCGGUGCUAAUACCGAAUAGUUUUCGCCACCUCCUGGUGGCGUACGGAAAGACGGUUUCGGCUGUCACUGCAGGCUGUGCCCGCGGCGCAUUAGCUAGUUGGUGGGGUAACGGCCCACCAAGGCGACGAUGCGUAGCCGACCUGAGAGGGUGAUCGGCCACACUGGGACUGAGACACGGCCCAGACUCCUACGGGAGGCAGCAGUAGGGAACCUUCCGCAAUGGACGAAAGUCUGACAGAGCAACGCCGCGUGAGUGACGAAGGUUUUCGGAUCGUAAAACUCUGUUGUGAGGGAAGAACAAGUACCACUUAACUACUGGUACCUUGACGGUACCUCACCAGAAAGCCACGGCUAACUACGUGCCAGCAGCCGCGGUAAAAC